GAAAUGCGAUAAGUAAUGUGAAUUGCAGAAUUCCGUGAAUCAUCGAAUCUUUGAACGCACAUUGCGCCCUCUGGUAUUCCGGGGGGGGCAUGCCUGUCCGAGCGUCAUUGCGAACCCCUCAAGCACGGCUUGUGUGAUGGGCCCUCCCGCGUCUUGGUCGUCAAGACGGGCCCGAAAUGCAGUGGCGGCUUCGCGGUUAUCCGAUCAGCCAGAGCGUAUGGGGACUCUCUCUCUUGUCACACGCCCGCGGCGCGGACCGACGCCUGUCGACCUUUAUUCAUCUUCUCUCGGUUGACCUCGGAUCAGGUAGGGAUACCCGCUGAACUUAAGC
rnacentral:misc_RNA from 1 species